rnacentral:lncRNA from 1 species
AUAAUGUCUGUGCCUAUCAGAUAAAGGCAAACCAGUGCUCAGAGGAACCCAACCAUCUCUGAAUUGAGACCAGAGAGCUGUCUCUAUGGAUAGUCCUUAGAGAAGGCAUUUCGGAACACAGUAAACAGCAGCCUGGUGACUCCGAUUACAGGGCCAGUUGCCUUUGUUACAAUAAAAGCAAGUCAUCUACACAGGCUGGAGUGUAGUGCCAUGAUCUCGGCCCGCUGCGAUCCCCA